UACGUAGGGGGCUAGCGUUGUUCGGAAUCACUGGGCGUAAAGGGCGCGUAGGCGGCUUUGUAAGUCGGGGGUGAAAGCCUGUGGCUCAACCACAGAAUUGCCUUCGAUACUGCGAGGCUUGAGACCGGAAGAGGUUAGUGGAACUGCGAGUGUAGAGGUGAAAUUCGUAGAUAUUCGCAAGAACACCAGUGGCGAAGGCGGCUGACUGGGCCGGAUCUGACGCUGAGGCGCGAAAGCGUGGGGAGCAAACAGG
rnacentral:rRNA from 1 species